rnacentral:lncRNA from 1 species
CUAUGAUCUUAAAGGUCCCUUCCAACUCAAAUCAUUCUAUGAUUCUAUUAUUCUGUGACUGUAUGACCCCAUGACCCUAUGAUUCUGUGAUUCCAUGACUCUAUGGGUCUACGAUCCAUGGUGGCUGGGAUGGCGAGUGGCCACGCCUGGCAGGUAAUGCUGGAAGAACGAUGCACUGCUGCUUGCUGUUCACCCACCUCAGGGCCUGGGCAGGUAAGCAAUCAGAGAAGGAGAGUGAGAAAAAACACGCAUGCACGCCUCUCCCUCCCUCUCAGCCUAAUUGAGCUAAUUAAUUUAGUGAAGAUCCAGUGCUCUGUAAUUUGCUUAGCCCCAUGAGCAACUCUGCAGCAGCAGCAAGCCCUGCUGGCCAUGAGCAGGGUCCUGUCAGGAGCUGUGCACCCCUGGGCAUCUGCAAAGCCCCAUUGGGUUUCAUUGCAUACCCAGGACCUGCCUGGCUGCUACGUAGCUGCAAAUUAAAAACAAUAAUAAUUAAAUAUUCCCCAUGGCAGAGGCUGCAAUUUCUAACCUGAAUCACUUGUAACUGAGCCUCUGAUUGUCAAGAGCAGUUAAACUCUCAUCUGCUGGCGCUUGUUUAUUCCCCAGCACCAGGAUCCCUUUCCUGUUGUGAUUAGAGAUCUCCCAGCAGAAGGGGUUUUGCACAGAUCCCCCUCUUCCCGAGGCUUCUUUCCUGCCUUUCUUCCUUUUUCUCUCCCUCUUAAUGAAAAUGUUGCAUGCUGGUCAAAUAAGUGUUUGUGGCUAUGGAUGAAGACGUGGAAACUGCCAUAAUAGGAGACCGAAACGAGCAGGCAACCGCGCGCUGAUUAGAGACCAUUAAAAUCCCCUCUGCGACUGGCACCGGGGUAGGAAAACAAGAGGGACUUCUAUGCUGAAGUGGACUGCCAAAUAAAAAUUACAUCUCGCUGAGGUCAUUUCUUGCAUGAUGUAUCUUGGGAAAAGAGGGGUUUCUCUUCUUUCCCUGCGAUAUGCAGAAAUUCAAAAUAAAAGCUUUCCGUCGGGUGGAGCGGCACAGAGACCCUCAGAGCGGUGUUACGUCUGCCUUCAUCCUUCCCUUCCUUUCUAUCUGACAAUCUUUAGGGGGAAAAAAAAAAAUAUCUUGACGUUUUUGUUUCCUUCUUUGCUUGUCUUCUCAGUAUGUCAGCAAAGAGACAAGAUUAUAACACAAUCCCCGCUCUCAGCACAAGGCAUGCAUUCGCCUCCAAACAGGGAAAAGGUGAGAACAGAUUCUACUGUGUCCAACAUCCUUUGGGUGAUCUGCCUUCCUGCCCUGCUGCUGCCUGGGUCUGCCUGCAAAGCUGCUGUGCCCCUGCCUGCCCCACAGCUCUCCUGCCCAAUGCAGGCCCAGCUGUUACAGCACAAGAGGACCUGA